rnacentral:rRNA from 1 species
GACGAACGCUGGCGGCGUGCUUAACACAUGCAAGUCGAGCGGUAAGGCCCCUUCGGGGGUACACGAGCGGCGAACGGGUGAGUAACACGUGGGUGACCUGCCCUCAGCUCUGGGAUAAGCCUGGGAAACUGGGUCUAAUACCGGAUAUGACUCCAUGACGCAUGUCGUGGGGUGGAAAGCCUUGUGCGGCUGGGGAUGGGCCCGCGGCCUAUCAGCUUGUUGGUGGGGUGAUGGCCUACCAAGGCGACGACGGGUAGCCGGCCUGAGAGGGCGACCGGCCACACUGGGGACUGAGACACGGCCCAGACUCCUAUGGGAGGGCAGCAGUGGGGAAUCUUGCGCAAUGGGCGAAAGCCUGACGCAGCGACGCCGCGUGAGGGAUGACGGCCUGGUUGUAACGU